rnacentral:lncRNA from 1 species
AAAUACCAUGCGUUUAUAGGACUGUGCGCAAACCCUGAAUUGUUUGCCUAAUGUAGUCCCUGUUUGAUUUAUGCCUUAUGUCAUCUGUGAACGAUAAGAUAACAAGAAGUUUUUAGACCUUGAGCACACCUGGGACAGAGCCGCCCUGUUAUUCUAAGGAGCAGAUGUGCUGCCUGUUUGUACACAGAAGUAUACAUUGAGUGACCAGCAGAGACCUGACCCUUGAGAUAAAGGCAGCCAUACAAAGAUCUUGCCAGGAAGAGCAUUCUGGGCGAGGGAAGAGCAAGCUUAAAGGCUUUGAGGCAGAGUCAAGCUUGGCUUGCUCAAGGAAGAACAACGAAGUCAGUGUGACUGGAGACCAGUGAACAAAGAGAGAGUGGCUGGAGAGGCGGACAGAGAGCAGGUGUGAGAUAGACAUGAAUGGAGCCCUGUGGAAGUCACAGUAGAGUUAUGCUGACUGUAGCGGAAGCCACUGGGACACUGUAGGCAGAGAGGUGAUAUCUGAUUUACCUUGCCUAAAAAUAUAACUCUCUCUUUUUGGAUAUAAAAGUAUCACCUUAGAGAUCAAUUUCAUACCAAAAGUAUGAAAAGGAAAGAAUCGACUGUGUCACAUGUCCAAGGUCUACUGGUACAGACCUGUCCUCAGUGAAAUAUAACUGUGGGGGAGAGGGUAAUAAUUCAGCAGACAUUUGGCCUCUGCAGCUCAUGGUCUAGCCAGUAGCCAGAGUGGUUCUCUAUAAACAGAGAUUGGAUCGUGUCACUCCCUUGCUUAAACCACCCCCACCUGAAGACCUCCCAUUCUCCUCAGAACAAGAUGCAAGGUCCUUAUAAUGGCUCUGCCUGGUUUCUGUUCUUAGUACUUAUCACCAUCUGACAUUAUAUUUGUAGUGGUUUAGUGAUUUACUAUCUUCCCAGUCCAGACCAAAAACUUCAUGUAGGCGGUCACGUAUGUAUCCCAGGACAGUGGCUGGCACAUAGUAAGUAUUCAAUAAAUUUUUGGUAAACAAAUUAAUUAAUUUAACAUUGUUCUUGGCAUUUGUGUAAUAGGUGAGAAUUCCAAAUAACUUCCUUAUGUCGGGUCUAAAUUCAUUCGCAUACUGAAUUUCACGUUAAACACCAGUAUUAUGACAAUAAUAAGAAAUAACGGAUUAACCGGUAUUUGUAUUUCUAGCUAUUUUUGAACUUUUAAAGCUUAAACAACAUUGUAUCUUAAACUCAAACCACAUUCUGUCCCAUUUAUCCACAUGCAAAGUGGUGGAAGGAAGCUUAUCAGAAAAUAAAAUUUUCCAACAAACAAUAUGUCAUAUAUUCAAAAGUCAGUACAGAAGUAACAUCUUUUUCUUUUAACAACAGCUAGAACAUGAUUUUCUGUUUCGAAGCAUUUUUUAAAAAUUGAAUCCAUUAUGGGCUUUAUAUGGAACUGAUUCUCAACGUGACCUCCAAACACUGACAUUUCUGUUAGACAGGAAGAACCCUUGCUCUAAAUGAUAUCAGUAAAGUGCUACCUCCUAUUUUAUCAACCACAGUAAUGCAAGGACAUGGAAAAGGACACACCAGUGCUAACCAAAAAGGAGACGCCUUAAUCUGAUACCCUGGGAAUGGAUCUACCCUGCGUCAGGAAACAAAGAGUCCGCCAGUACAGAUGCUUCCAACUUCUGGCAGGUCGCCCUUUGGGUCCCACCCAGUUUUUCUUCAAACUUCCCCAGAAGAAGCCUGUAUGGCAUGAGUGAAAUGAAGCCUCUGAGCCCAAGCCAAGCCAUCGCAUCCCCUGUG